ensembl:lncRNA
GUUUCACACUCAAAGAGCCAAUGUACCUACAAUAAUUUACUGCGACAUUUGUCGUCUUGAUGCCAACAGAUGCUUCAGAAUGUUCAGAACUAUUCAUUCCUGGCUACACUCAAGGACACCUACACCACCCGAUGUCACAGGAAGGCCAAAACGAUCAUCAAGGACUUCAACCACCCGAGCCACUGCCUGUUCACCCCGCUAUCAUCCAGAAGGCGAGGGGGAUGACAUUGAAAUUGUAGCCAGCUCUGCAAUGCUUGUUUGAAAAAGAGAGACCACAACAACUGUUCUUAAACUAUGAACAAUGUACCUGGGAAUGAAGGAAGUCUUUUUGUUG